ensembl:miRNA
UGUUAUCCAUUCAGCAGUAGGUUGUGGCCAACAAGAAAACAAUGCUGACUGAAUAACAUU